rnacentral:rRNA from 1 species
UACGUAGGUGACCAGCGUUGUCCGGAUUUACUGGGCGUAAAGAGCGCGCAGGCGGUCGUUCAAGUCGAGUGUGAAAGCCCCCGGCUCAACUGGGGAGGGUCACUCGAUACUGAUCGACUUGAAGGCAGGAGAGGGAAGUGGAAUUCCCGGUGUAGUGGUGAAAUGCGUAGAUAUCGGGAGGAACACCAGUGGCGAAGGCGACUUCCUGGCCUGUUCUUGACGCUGAGGCGCGAAAGCUAGGGGAGCAAACGGG